rnacentral:ncRNA from 1 species
GCUAAAGCUGUGAAGGGAAGAGUAGACUAGAAACAGUCUUAAAGAGAGGGGAGUACCGUAGGCUGAGAGUCUCCCUAAGAUAUGCCUAGUUGAAAACUGCCCCUGAGUUGUAUCCGAAACCUAAUUUUAGGGUAAGGAUUUCCGUUGACUGCGUUAAAGUCUCAAAGAGGGUUUAUACCAAUUAGGGUGGAACCGCGGGAGUAUCUCCCGUCCCUAGC